AACGCACCUUGCACCCUUUGGUAUUCCAAAGGGUACACCCGUUUGAGUAUCAUUGUAACCUCACCACAUCAACUUGUUGAUGUUGUGGACUUGGAUGCUGCCGUGUCAUGACGACUCAUCUGAAAUGUCUGAGUACAUCCUGAUUUGUGGUGUGUUCGGUGUGAUAAAUCUUCACCGAGUUGACCUCUCAGGUCACACCCACUUGACAUGGCUCUGUGCUUCUAACCGUCUCCCAUGUGAGACAACUCCUGACAAUUUGAUCUCAAAUCGGGUGGGACUACCCGCUGAACUUAA
rnacentral:misc_RNA from 1 species